AUUGAACGCUGGCGGCAGGCCUAACACAUGCAAGUCGAACGCGUGGCGGGCGGGUGCGUAAUGUCUGGGAAACUGCCUGAGGGAUGGGGAUCACUACUGGAAACUAUAGCUAAUCCCGCAUACAAUCGGCUGUGCCCAGAUGGGAUGAGCUUGGAGGUGGGGUAACGGCUGACAUAGGCGACGAUCCCUAGCUGGUCUGAGAGGAUGACCAGCCACACUGGAACUGAGACACGGUCCAGACUCCUACGGGAGGAAGCAGUGGGGAAUAUUGGACAAUGGGCGAAAGCCUGACGCAGCAACGCCGAGUGAGUGAUGAAGGGCUUCGGAUCGUAAAGCACUGUUAGUAGGGAAGCGGUACCGAAAGAAAAAGCAACGGCUAACUACGUGCCAGCAGCCGCGGUAAUAC
rnacentral:rRNA from 1 species